ACAGAGGACCCAAGCGUUGUUCGGAUUCACUGGGCGUAAAGGGUGCGUAGGUGGUGAGGUAAGUCGGAUGUGAAAUCUCCGAGCUCAACUCGGAAAUGGCAUUGGAAACUACCUUGCUCGAGGGUUGGAGGGGGGACUGGAAUGCUUGGUGUAGCAGUGAAAUGCGUAGAUAUCAAGCGGAACACCAGUGGCGAAGGCGAGUCCCUGGACAACUCCUGACACUGAGGCACGAAAGCUAGGGGAGCAAACAGG
rnacentral:rRNA from 1 species